CCCAGAGCUCCACCUGUCCUCGCUGGAUGCGGUAGAUUAAGUCAGGUGUGGGACCUCGAUAUCCUGUUUGAAGCAGUGGUUAAAAAGGGCCUGUGACUGGGGU